CCUACGGGUGGCAGCAGUGGGGGAUAUUGCACAAUGGGGGAAACCCUGAUGCAGCGACGCCGCGUGGGCGAAGAAGUAUUUCGGUAUGUAAAGCCCUAUCAGCAGGGAAGAAGAAAUGACGGUACCUGAGUAAGAAGCACCGGCUAAAUACGUGCCAGCAGCCGCGGUAAUACGUAUGGUGCAAGCGUUAUCCGGAUUUACUGGGUGUAAAGGGAGCGCAGGCGGCACGGCAAGCCUGAUGUGAAAGCCCGCGGCCCAACCGCGGGACUGCAUUGGGAACUACCGGGCUGGAGUGCCGGAGAGGUAGGCGGAAGCCCGAGUGGAGCGGGGAAAGGCGGAGAGAUGAGGAGGAACACCAGGGGCGAAGGCGGCCGACGGGACGGUGACUGACGCGGAGGCUCGAAAGCGGGGGGAGCAAACAGGAUUAGAGACCCUAGUAGUC
rnacentral:rRNA from 1 species